rnacentral:lncRNA from 1 species
GAUGCAACAGCUUUUUUCCUUUUGUCUGUAGGUCUGUGAGAGGAUGGCCUGAAGCCCUGGGGUUUUCUGCACUUGGCACUUUUAUUGACCCCUGACUUCAUUCAAUCUGUGAUCGUGACUUUUCUGGCAGUGCCAUCCACUGAGAUCUACAGUGACUUCAGUUUUAGGUCCCUGCAUAGGCUGGGGUGAUUUCUCCAUUUCUGGAACUAGCCCAGGCUAGCCAGAACUGUCUGUGAGGCACCUUCCCACAUGUGCAAGAGUAAAUACCUGCCGGGGGUUGUGAUUUGGUAAGUGUUUAAUGUCCAUUUUUCUUCUUAUUU